rnacentral:rRNA from 1 species
GAUGAACGCUAGCGGCAGGCUUAACACAUGCAAGUCGAGGGGCAGCAUGACACGGAGAUUCGUCGAAGUGUUGAUGGCGACCGGCGCAAGGGUGCGUAACGCGUGAGCAACUUGCCCCGUUUCUGGGGGAAUAACCGUUGGAAACGACGACUAAUACCCCCAUAGUAUCAGAUGGAGGCAUCUUUUGAAGUUGAAAGUUCAGGCGGUUAUGGAUGGGCAUGCGUUGUAUUAGCUAGAUGGUGAGGUAACGGCUCACCAUGGCUACGAUACAUAGGGGACUGAGAGGUUAACCCCCCACACCUGGUA